UCAGUGGGAGAGAGGUAGAGAGAGAGAGGAACGAGCAGACUAGGGUGUGAGUGAUUCCAGUGCUCUGUACCAGUUCCAGUCUUGGUUAAAGAUGCUGGUGUGUGUGUAUCUCCUCUACUGUGUGCUGCAGGUGACUACAGGGUGUGAUCCGGUGAGGGAGCACCAGUGUGGGGACGGUCGCUGUAUUCCAUCAGAGUGGCUGUGUGAUGGAGACCACGACUGUCUGGACAACAGUGAUGAACUUAACUGCUCAUGUAAGGCACAAGGCUUGCUGGAGUGUGAGAAUGGUCAGUGUAUCCCCAGUGCCUUUUACUGUGAUGGAGACAAUGAUUGUAAGGAUGGAAGUGAUGAGGAAAACUGCACAAAACAACUGGGUGA